UACGUAGGGUGCAAGCGUUGUCCGGAAUUACUGGGCGUAAAGCGCACGUAGUCGGCUUUGCAAGUCGGGUGUGAAAUCCCCGGGCUCAACCUGGGAACUGCAUCCGAGACUGCAUUGCUAGAGUAUGGGAGAGGGAUGUAGAAUUCCAGGUGCAGCGGUGAAAUGCGUAGAUAUCUGGAGGAAUACCGGUGGCGAAGGCGGCAUCCUGGACCAUUACUGACGCUGAGGCGCGAAAGCUAGGGGAGCAAACGGG
rnacentral:rRNA from 1 species